AACGAACGCUGGCGGCAUGCCUAACACAUGCAAGUCGAACGAAGCCUUCGGGCUUAGUGGCGCACGGGUGCGUAACGCGUGGGAAUCUGCCCUUAGGUACGGAAUAACUCAUGGAAACGUGUGCUAAUACCGUAUGAUGUCUUCGGACCAAAGAUUUAUCGCCUAGGGAUGAGCCCGCGUUGGAUUAGCUAGUUGGUGAGGUAAAGGCUCACCAAGGCGACGAUCCAUAGCUGGUUUGAGAGGAUGAUCAGCCACACUGGGACUGAGACACGGCCCAGACUCCUACGGGAGGCAGCAGGUGGGGAAUCUUAGACAAGUGGGGGAAACCCUGAUCUAGCCAUGCCGCGUGAGCGAUGAAGGCCUUAGGGUUGUAAAGCUCUUUCAGCGGGGAUGAUAAUGACAGUACCUGGAGAAUAAGCUCCGGCUAACUCCGUG
rnacentral:rRNA from 1 species